UGCUGUUUUCACUGAUUUCGGUAAGUUUAGUGAAUUAAAAUUGCAUAAAUAUCAUAUGCCACUGUUCCUGACAUCUCUUUUGCUUGUAUUUGACCAGCAUCUGUUGAAUUUACUUCAUAGAAAUGGUUUUCGAACAAGUCCGUGAGCAUCUUAACCGUUAUCAGAGGAGAUUCUUCUAGUGUUUGAUGAUCUUCUGCAUCCCAUGAUGAGCAAACCUGUCCAACAACAUCUCCAAGGCACACAGAUCCAUAUGACUAGCAG